UGUCGAACUGUUUUUGAAAAU
ensembl:piRNA 21ur-612 ncRNA